rnacentral:rRNA from 1 species
GAUGAACGCUAGCGGCAGGCCUAACACAUGCAAGUCGAGGGAGAAGCCCUUUCGGGGGCAGAAACCGGCGCACGGGUGCGUAACGCGUAUGCAACCUACCUUUCACAGGGGGAUAGCCCGAAGAAAUUUGGAUUAAUACCCCAUAAUAUUAUUGGAUGGCAUCAUUUGAUAAUUAAAACUGCGGUGGUGAAAGAUGGGCAUGCGUCCUAUUAGCUAGUUGGAGUGGUAACGGCACCCCAAGGCUACGAUAGGCAGGGGUCCUGAGAGGGAGAUCCCCACACUGGUACUGAGACAGGGACCAGACUCCUACGGGAGGCAGCAGUGAGGAAUAUUGGUCAAUGGUCGGAAGACUGAACCAGCCAUGCCGCGUGCAGGAAGAAUGCCUUAUGGGUUGUAAACUGCUUUUAUAUGGGAAGAAUAAGGUGUACGUGUACAUUGAUGACGGUACCAUAUGAAUAAGC